UCUAUCUGGGAUUGGGGAUCU
rnacentral:miRNA from 1 species